rnacentral:tRNA from 1 species
GAGGGUAUAGCUCAGUGGUAGAGCGCAUGCCUAGCAUGCAUGAAGUCCUGAGUUCAAUUCCUAGUACCUCCA